UCCUCUUUUCCACCUACAUCUACAGAUGACACCACUACCACAACCACCAAGCGACUGAAGCGCUGAUCAAAGGGGAGAGCCUGGCCAAAGGGCAACCAGCCAUCCUUUUGGGGAAAUGAGUGAAAACAGUGAAGCAAUUGCAAAGUUGGAGCUUUUUAGGCUGCAGUCUGCAGAAAAGAAGAGGGAGCACCAGAGAUUAUUGCAACUCAAAAAACUGGAGAUAAAAGAAAAAGUGAGAGAAGAAAGAGAGCAAAAACACCAACUGGACCUGCUAGAGAAGCAGAACCAGAACCCAUCGACCCCAACGACUCCCAUCACUCCAAAAAUCCACAGAUGCAGCUCCAACGCCUGUGACAGCAGAGGAGUUGAGACCAGGAAAUUGCCAGACAGUUCUGCAAGGCACCUCCCCAUGGCUCUGUACCCAGCAGAGCGUGGCCGACUCAUUAAAGCUUGGUGAAGAUUAGACCAUGA